UUAUUUUAGGUUAAUUGAAAUUUCGAAUUUUUAAGAUUAUUUAAUAAUGGUAAUAGUAAUCAAUAUAAAAUUUAUAAAUUAGGUAAUUUUAUUUUUAGAUGGUUAAUGUUUAAUUUUUAAUUUAAUGUUUUCAUUAAUUUGAUUUUAGAAAUUUUUUUUUAAUUAAUUAAAUUUGUGCCAGCAAUUGCGGUUAUACAAAUAAUUAAAUUGAUUAUUAUUUAAUUGUAAUAAGGAAUUUUUUUUUAUUCUAAAAUGAUAAAAUUAAGUGAAAUUUUUUUGUUAUAAUUGAUUAAUAUUUUUUUUUUGGAUUAUUAAAAUUUAUUUUUAAACUAGAAUUAGAUACUCUAUUAUUUUUAUUGUAAUUAUUAUUAAGUUAGUAUUAGUUAUUUUCUUUAAAAUUAAAUUUUUUGGCGGUAUUUUAGUCUUUUCAGAGGAACUUGUCCAGUAAUUGAUAGUCCACGUUUAAAUUUACUUUUAUUUUUUUUAAAUAUCGUUGUUUAAGAAUUUUUUAUAAGAAUUAGAAAUUUCUUUAUUUUUUUUAUAAUUUAUUUCAGAUCAAGAUUUAGAUGUAUAAAAGUUGAGAUGAGUUACAAUAAAUUUAUUUAUGGUUUUAAUUUUUUAUAAGAUUAAAUAAAUUGGAUUUGAUAGUAAUUUAUAAAUUUUAUUAUUUUUGAUUUAAGCUCUAAAAUAUGUACAUAUUGCCCGUCACUUUCAUUAAUAUGAAAAAAGUCGUAACAUAGUAGAUGUACUGGAAAGUGUAUCUAGAAAAU
rnacentral:ncRNA from 1 species